rnacentral:rRNA from 1 species
UACGGAGGGUGCGAGCGUUGUCCGGAAUCAUUGGGCGGAAAGGGCGCGUAGGUGGCCCGGUCAGUCUUUGGUGAAAGCGCGGGGCUCAACCCUGCGUCGGCCAGGGAUACUGCCGCGGCUCGAGCACUGUAGAGGCAGGCGGAAUUCCGGGUGUAGCGGUGGAAUGCGUAGAGAUCCGGAAGAACACCGGUGGCGAAGGCAGGUCUCUGGGCUAUAACUGACGCUCAUGCACGAAAGCGUGGGGAGCAAACAGG